GACGAACGCUGGCGGCGUGCUUAACACAUGCAAGUCGAACGGAAAGGCCCUGCUUUUGUGGGGUGCUCGAGUGGCGAACGGGUGAGUAACACGUGAGUAACCUGCCCUUGACUUUGGGAUAACUUCAGGAAACUGGGGCUAAUACCGGAUAGGAGCUCCUGCUGCAUGGUGGGGGUUGGAAAGUUUCGGCGGUUGGGGAUGGACUCGCGGCUUAUCAGCUUGUUGGUGGGGUAGUGGCUUACCAAGGCUUUGACGGGUAGCCGGCCUGAGAGGGUGACCGGCCACAUUGGGACUGAGAGACGGCGCAGACGCCUACGGGAGGCAGCAGUGGGGAAUAUUGCACAAUGGGCGGAAGCCUGAUGCAGCAACGCCGCGUGCGGGAUGACGGCCUUCGGGUGGUAAACCGCUUUCGCCGGUGACGAAGCGUGAGUGACGGUAAUGGGUAAAGAAGCACCGGCUAACUACGUG
rnacentral:rRNA from 1 species